AUGAACGCAUUUUAGAGCAUUGUUAUCCCACCAAAAAUUUGAAUUGCAGAGGCAUCUCGCUGUACCAUUUCCUUUUAGAUUGUUGCAAGUUGAAUUUGGCCAAUCGUCGCAGUCUGAAGAUGAAGAGCAGACUGGCUCUUGAGGUGGCUCCCAACCAAUAUCUAUUUCUACCAGACCUUGAGAUGAAACGUUGGAAAUAAAAUUUCCUGCCACGGUAUCACACCAGCGUUUAGAGGCGUUCAUCUUAAAUGGAAAUGACGUGUUGAACUUCCGAAUUUGACCUCUUGUACUGGCAUUACAAUCAUCUACAUCUUUGUGAUGUUUAGUAUUAAAAAGAUUUGGAAAAUACAAUAAAGCCCUUGGAGGCUUAAAAGAGGGUAUAAAUGAUUGAAGGGUAGUGUGGUAAUUGACCAAUAGUUGAUAAAUAUAUAUAAGAAAAAAAAAAAAAAGGAUCUGAAUUUGGAGAGAGAACCGGCAGGAGAGAAGAGAGGAAGAAGAAGAAGAGAAAAGAGGGGAAAAAGGAAAAGGUUGAAGAAAACAAGUAAAAGGGUAAGAUUAUGCUUGAAUGUAUAAUAUGUUUUCUUUAGCUUUAAAUUUCGGUUUUUGAUUAAUUUUAGAGUUUUGAAUUUUGAGUUUAUUGAUGAAUUAGUUUGAAUUAGAGGUUGAUUGAUGUGGGUAUUUGAUUAUUAGUUGAAUUGGAGAGAUUGUAAGAAAAUGAUGAUUUUGAGUUAUGGUUGAAUUGAAUGAUGAAGUUGAGGUAUAAAUCUGGAACUAACAGUAGGUGAUCUGUUGAAAUUCUGGGUUUGAGGUUGAAGAUGACGAAAAUUCAGUUUGGUCCCUCAAUUUGUGAAAUUGCAGUUUAGUCCCCGAACUUUGGAAAUUUUACAGAUUGGUCCCUGGGGCAUAAAUUGAGGUUCUGAACAGAACUGAGGAUGAUUUAAGGACAAAAUUCCAGUAUAAUUAAUAUUUUCAGUUUGGUCCUCCAAUUUGACAAAAAGUAUAAUUUGACCCUAAAAAUUUGGUAAAGUUCCAGAAUGGUCCUUGGAGCAUAAUGAUAUAUCCUGGACAGAAUUGAGGAUUAAUUAUGGAUAAAUUUCAGUAUGGUUAUAUAUUUACAAUUCGGUCCUCAAAUUUUGGUAAAAUUACGUUUUGGUCCCUGUUUUGGAAAAUUAUCGUUUUAGUCCCUAAACUUGGGAGAUUAAGCCCGGUUUUAUUUUAUGCAUUGGGAUCUUUUGUUUGAUUGUUUUUGAGUAUAUUUCAUAUAUUUAUUGUAGGUUCUCCUAACGAUCCUUAAUCGGAUUUUCGGGUCUUUUGUCUGACAUUCCUUUAGUUCAGUAUUUUCCGGGUGAGUGGAAUAAUCUUUAAUAUGCAUAUAAUAUAAAUAAAUAUGUAUGUUGAUUAUACAAUGAGUACAACUAGUAAAUUUCUUGAAUAUUUAUAUAUGUUGCUUUAUUUUCCGAGUACUCAUUUAUUCUUGAAUUUGCACUCGCAAUCUGAUAAAGUAAAUUCUAUUUGAUAGAUAUGAUAUACGUUUUUGAUGAUGUGAAUAUCUAUUAUGCCUUGAUAUGGGACUUGUCAGUAACUCCAUGCUAACGGAGAAUAGUUAGCCUGUGUGCACAUAGUAUUCUGUUACCUAGCUGGUGAGAGAGGCAUCAGCCUGUGGCGAUUAAUCAUCCCACAGUGGUCACCGACGGGUGUCAUCUGGUCACCGACGGGUGUCAUCUGGUCACCUUCGGGUGUCAUCUGGGUCACCUUCGGGUGUCAUCUGAUCUCUGACAUGUAAUCCACUACGUUAUGAUAAUAUGUUUAGUAAGUAUAUGUAUAUGUAUAUUAAGAUAAAUCAUCUUACAAAUUAUUAAUAUCUUAAAUAUCUUAAAUGUAUAUUAAAUGUUAUUCCCUCACUGAGUUGGUUGAACUCACCUCUCAUUUUUAAUAUUAUUUCAGGUUCUUAAUUUCUGAGACUUUGUUGAGUGUUUCCGCUUCUUCAGUUCUGGUCGGUAUGCCUUGCUUGUUCGCGAGGCUUUCCUUUCAGUUUUGAUUUGAUGUCUUAGACGCUCCACUGUUACCUUGUUUUAAUUAAGUUUGGAUUUUGGCAAUGUAAAUAGUAUUAUGAAUUAUUAUUUUUGUUUUAAUAACUAUCUUUCGGUUUCAUUAGUAUUUGAAUAAUAUAAUAUUUCUGAAUAUUAUGAGCCGCUGCGUAUUUUUGAACAAAUUGUUCUUUUGAUAUGUCCGUUCUGAGGCUUAGCGUAGGUGAGGUGUCCUUUCGACACCGCUCCUACGUUGCCGGUCACGGAUCCGGGAUUCGGGUCGUGACAAUCUUUCUCUUGGAUAACAAAUGUUCUUGUAUCUUGAUUGAUGGUAGUGACAUUAUAGGUGCCGCUGGGUGUCUUAAAGCUGAGUUUUCCUAUGGAAUUAUUGCAGUAGAAACUGUAGUACGCGGGGUCACCACAAUCUGAUCCAGUGCUUAGAGGAUAAGGAAUCACAUUUGUGCCACAAGGCUCACAACUUUUAUCCUUUGAUUCUGCAAAACAUGGAGCUUUUUUUAAGGUAUGCAAAACUACUGAUAUUUAGUUCAGUUAUGAAUUAAGUCCACUGCUUGUCUGCAAUCUUCUAUCAGAGAAAAUUAUCCUUGACGUAAUUCUAGCAUCUUGUAGUAACAAAAGGAGAAAGAACAAGUCGAAAGAAGAAAGUACCUAUAUCAGAAAUGGCGACUCGGACAAAGAGAUCGGGUCCACCAUAAGAAUAUUCCUCCUGGAGAUCUUUAAGAUCAUCAUACAUCCAGAUCAAGCAAGUGCGAGGUUGUCUGUCCCUUCGCCUAUUGACUUUCACCUCAACGAAGGAAUAAGCUUGGCAUGAGCAGUUACUGAGACACUCCUCUCUGCAUUGUUUUUCAUCCUCGACCUCAAAUGUUUUGACUGGUUGCCCAAAUUUCAUCGUCUUGAAGCUCAAGAAGGUGUUCUUCUUCACACAUGGGUCAGAGCUUCUGAUACAACCACUGGAGAAAUCGUCAUUUUUCCAAUUUUCCAGUGACUUAGGCUCAAAUCCUGGCAAACAUCUGCAAGCCACUUUAUUGUAUAGAUUGCAGCUGCCAAAGUUCCCACAGGCAUUAUACACACUGCAUUUGUCUUUCGGCUCCCACCAUAGCUUAGACCUAGUUGUGUUAUAGCUCAAGUAUUGUAGCUCCCCUUUAACGUCCAACCUAAUCCUUGUAUUACUAAAAUCUGAGAGUGAUAUAUUUAUUCCGUUGAGUAUUGAAGUUGGAUUAGAAACAGAAAUGGAUUCAAAACCUUUGGUGAAGUUCGAUAGAAAAUAUUCUAUAACAUCAGGCAUUCUUUCUGGUCUAAAGAAAUCACUUGACUCCCCACUAGUCCAGUGCUUUAUACUGCCAUCGGAGAUAACAAACUGGCCCCUUUCUUCAUCUAGCUGAAAUGUGAAGUUACCUUCUUGUGGAUCAACUUCACUUUUCCAUGAAGUCAAUUUUAGAUCCCCAAUCAUCUUCAUACCUGAAAGAAAUGUAUCAGUUGGAUGGUCAAAGCUUUGCCAUAGAAUAGUUGUCGAAAGGGUAUUACUAUCACACAAAACCAAGUUCCCAGAAUCUAAGAGCUUAGCCAACCCAUUCGCUGGUUUUGAUGUUGAUUCAAGCCCUGUAGACCAAAAAGAAUCUCCAUUUUUUUUCAAAAUCUUGAGAUUUCCAUCAUCUGUGACAGCCAAAACUGCUCCAUCAUCAAGAAGUGGGCUGUUUCGAUUGGCAACCCACACAACUAUUCGUGGUUUCGACCCGUAAUACCAAAUUCCUACGUAGCUUUUGUUUUGUUCAGUAGUAAAGAACCCCAGUUCAAACCAUUUUCGUGCUGAAACAAGAGUUUCUCCACCAUCAUGACUAAUCAAAUUACCAGCAUAUGUGAUCGUAUCUCCAGCAAAGCAACAUAAAAGGGAGGAGCAUAAUAAGAACGCAUAAGAAAAGAAAACGGUUGAUAGCAUGCUAUGCAUUGCACAUAGAUCCCUCUGGUUAAGACCUCUUCUUACCAUCAACCUUGAAUGUAUCACUCAAGUCAACUGCAAAGCAAAUUUUCACUGCACGUGUUCUGUGUUGACGCUGACCAUAAAGGAAGGGAGAUGAUGCUUUACUAAACUUAGAUUAAUUUAGAAUAGUUAAUCAUUUGAACACCACAACAUUUUCCUAGUCAUCGACAAAAAAUUAAUACAUUGUAACGUUGUAGUGUUUAUUUUGUAAAAUAUUUUUUAUUUAAAAAUAUAUUAAAAUAAUAUUUUUAUUAUUUUUAAAAAAUUAUUUUUGAUAUUAAAAAUUAAUUUUAAAUAAAAAAAUUAUAAUUUAAUGAGAAACACAAUUUAAAACAAUUUUAUCUAGCUUAUAUUUUCUUUAAUGGUGGUACUCUAGUGAUAGAGUUGCCGUAGUGGGGUGGUAAUGAAAAUAGCAACAGUGAUGAUAAUAUUGCAUGUAGUGAUGAUGAUAAGAUUUUGAUGGUUAAGAUUGAUGAAUGAUUUUGUGUAUAAAUUAUUAUUUAAAAAAGUUUAAAAAAUAUUUUAUUUAAAACAAAUUCCUUCUUAAACUACCCAUAAAUAAUUAAAUUGCUUGCUGCAGGAGUGGUUUUUUUUUUUUUAUUAUUAUUAUUAAUGUGUAUAUUUGAGUUAGUUUACGUGGAUUUUAAUUAAUUUUAUAAAUUUUAAAAUUAAAAACUAUAUAAAUUUUUCAAACUAAUAAUUUUUAAAAAUUAAACUUAAAAUAUAACAAGUUAAUUUAUAUAUUUCGAAAUAUGCAGGCUUGUUCUUUUCUUUUACAAGUAUUGGCUCUCCUUUCCCACGCCAUUUUCUGUGGCAACAAGGGCGCGUCAAGGCAUUUUUCAAACUUUAUGCAUUCAUGCUUUCAAGGCUGAUUCAGGUUUAAUAAGUAUGCUUUGAAUGCGAUUCUACUUAUAUUCCCAUGCAGGACGCGAAUUUAUUGUAGUCCUUUAAUUUAGAAAAUUAUGAGAUCAGGGUCGUCCACUCAUAUAUGUCCAUUUGCAGCUUCUUGGAUCAAGACUAAGUUCCCGGAAUCCAUGAGCUUCAACCUCCGAGUGAAAGAAAAUGAAGAUGAUGUUUCUUUCACAGAAAAUGUUUGAAUUCUCGUUCUUUCUUUCACAUCCAUCAUCAGAGAAUGUUACUGCCCAACCUUGUAUUACCAGCAGCAUUGUUACAUAGCUAACUGACUAGUUCUUUCUACCCCUUUCAGGGGACCAAGCAAGAGCAGAGAGCUAAUUUACCACAAAUAAGUCUACUUCUAACUAAUCAACGCGUUUUUAGCUCAUUUUAUCACUUUAUGUUUGUUCCUUUUGACUAGAAUAUUCUCCUGGUGGUGUUUUCCAAUUAGACAGAGACGUUACCAGUUGCCUGAACAGCAAGUUUCAUGAUGCACAGUGUCAAUGUCAGGUCUGAACUAAUGACUGAAAUGCAAAUGGAGUAAUGUUAGUACAAGCAGAUAAAUCGCCGAGAACGUUAAUGAUAGAAACUGGAGGCACCACAGAAACCACCUAGUUCGAUUAGGUUUUGGCGUGUCUGAGGAAAAGAAGGAUACAAUUCAGUAAUCUGAAAAGCAAAGAUUACCAGAUGAAGUCAUGGUCUUCUAUUUUUGUCUAUUUCACCUUUUAUUAUUGGCCCAUGAAACUGGCAAGUAGUUUCGUUUGUUUUUAUUCUUAUCAGAGAUAAUAAUCUAGGUUCGUUUAAUGAAAAGUUAUUUUCUAAAUUUUUUCAUGUUUAUUAUUGGACAAGUUUAUUAAUAAAAAAUAAUUUUUAAUAAAUAAAAAAUUUAGUUUGGUUUUUAGAAAGUAUUUUAGUUUUAUUUUAGGUGGAAUACACUUUUUAAAAGAUACAAAAUAUUCAAAAAUAUCCUAUUAUCUAUCUAUUAUAUUAAAUUUGAUCAUCAAUUUAGCUCUUUGAAAUUUAAUUUGAUUUUUAUAUCAAUUUUAGCCUUAUUCUUUUUAUUGUUAUUUGUUUUUUUUUAAUUGAAAUUUUUUUUAUCCAUUAGAUUUGAUCCUUGUUCUUUUGAUUUCUAUUUAUUUUAUUUGAAAUAAUCUUUGUCAUUAAUUUUUUUAAUUUCAUCAUUUAUCAACUUUUUAUUUGUCAUAUUUAGUUUCAUUAUUUUAAUUGUUAUUUCUUUUAUUUAAAAUAAUUUAUAAAAUUUAAAUAUUUUUUUCAAUUUCAUCAUCUUUCAACCUUUUCAUCUGUUAAAUUUAGUCUCUAUUAUUUUAGUAAACUUGAUAAAAAUUAAACAUUAAUAAAUUAUUUUUCCUUUCAUUUUUUACGGUAUAGUCAAACACUAAAAGUGUUUUCCAACUCAUUUUCUAUAAUAUUGCUAAAUAUCACAAAAAAAUAUAUAUUUUAAAAAAUUUAUUUUUCAUGAAAACUACUUGUCAAGAAAAAAAUAUUUUCUAGGAAACAAACAAGAUUUGCUCAGUAAAAUAACAAGUUCCAAUUCUACUUCAAUGAUAUAUUUGGUAAUUAGAAGAUCUUUAAAAUGGAAAAGAGAAAGAGCUCAUCUUAAAAUGCCUAAAUAGCUGUAUAUUUGUGUUGUUUAUGAUGUGAUAAUGAUAUUCUCCAUCAUAAACAAAAGUUGUGGCAUCCAAAAAAAACUAAAAAAAUAUCUUGUAUAAAACAAAUUAUUGCAAAAUUUACUUGGCAAUUAUAAGAGCCUAACAAUGAUAAUGAUGUUCAAGAGACUUUUUAACUAUAAAAAAUAAGUUAGAGGAUAACUAGUAAUUUUUUAUUGAAUGGUGAAAUCAAAAAAAAAAAAAUCAAUAUAACAAUAAGAUAUAAGAAAAAAUAAAAAAAAAUAAGGAUCAAGUUGAAAAAAAUAAAAUAUCACAAAUUUGGAUUCAGUAAUGAAAUUAAAAACAAAAUAAAAUUUUACAAAAUGGCCAAGAACAUAAAUUAAAAAUCAAAACAAUAAAAAUCAAAGUUAAAAUUUCAAUUAACAAGAGGGCAAUUCUGAAAUUUUGAAUGGCUAGUUUGAAUUUCGAGUGGAAAAGAAAAGAAAACAUCAUCGGCAAUAAAUCAUCUCACCCCUGCUAUGAAACACCAUAAAUUUCCCUCUACAUUGUAAGAUCUUGUAUCAAGGCAACCAAAAAAAAUACCAAGUCAAAUACUAAAUUAAGCAAAUUUGAAUGGAUCAAAUUGAAAAAAAUAAAAAUAAAUUGAGGGAUACAAGAAAAGGGAUGAACCUUCCCUUAUCCAUACAUUUUGUCCUUAAUUUUUAGGUUGUUCAAAUUUGGUCUCCAUUUUUGUAAACCAAGUGUCAAAUGAGCAAUGAUUUUUUUUAUUCACACCGUGAGAUCCCCUAGCCAAUGUAGACAAAGUAUAUCACAAAGUUUGAUCCCAAAAAUAAUAAAAUUGAAAAAAGAAUUAAAGAACAAAAAAAAAAAACUAAAGGACUAAAAGAAAAAAAACUAUAAGACUAAGAAAAAAAAAACUCUAUUAUAAUUCAUAGUGUUUUCUCUAUAAAAUUGAAAUAAUACUAUUUUAUCCUUAAACAUGACUAUUACAAUGACACGAAUGCAUGCCACUUUGAUAUUAUUUACCCCGCAACUUGAGUCAAAAUCCAUUUCUUGCUGCUUUGCCUUGUCUUCAAGGGAAGUACUGACGGUGAGAGGAUAAGUCAUUUGUGUGUGUGAGCCUUGAGGAUAAGUCAUUUGCCUUGUCUUCAAGGAAAGUACUGCUAACAAUUAAGCUUGUGUGCCUCAGCAUUACACAAAUUCAUUUGAAAACUGUCCCCAUAAUCAACUGCCAUGAUUAAGGAGAAAUCUGGGUUUUUUGCCAAAUGCAUGAUCCACAUAGUGCCGAAUAGCAUCAUAUAAUAUGAAUGAAUAAAGAAAACAACACAGGAAAUGUCCAACAAACUGACUCAACAUUCACAAUGCCAAACAAAAGGCCACGGAAUUGAAUUAAAUUUGCACUCCUACAAGUUAGAAAAUUCACGAUGCCAAGAGGAGGUAAGUGAUCUCGUGAACCUAAUAUCUCCGAGUGGAGUUAUUACAAGAACAGUCUCCUGUCCUCAAAUUAAGAUAUUCGUUAAGAAUUAUUGAUUUCACAUGGCCGAUUACAAAGAUACUGCUAAAUAUCACUAAAAAUAUAUAUAUGUUUCUAGAAAUUUAUUUUUCAUGAAAACUACUUCUCAAGAAAAAAAUAUUUUCUAGAAAACAAACAAGAUUUGCCUAGUAAACUAACAAGUUCCAAUUCUACUUCAAUGAUAUAUUUGGUGAGAUGGAAAAUUAGAAGAUCUUUGAAAUGGAAAAGAGAAAGAGCUCAUCUUAAAAUGCCUAAAUACCCUGUAUAUUUGUGUUGUUUAUGAUGUGAUAAUGAUAUUUUCCAUCACAAACAAAACCAAAAAAACUAAAAAAAUAUCUAGUUUUAUUAUUGCAAAAUUUACUUAGCAAUUAUAAGAGCCCGACAAUGAUAAUGAUGUUCAGGAGAUUUUUUUACUAUAUAAAGAGAUUUUUUUUUAGUUUGAGACAUAUUUUCAUCUUCUGUAUUUUUUCAAUUUAUACUUAGAUUAGUACACAUUAGAUUUAUGGAAUUGUAGGCAGUAUCGAUUCUUUUUUUUUUUUUGUGAAAAUAUAAUAUUAAGGUGUCAUAAGCGUGUUCUAAAAAAGGAAAAAUCCACAAUUAGGUCAAAUAAAUUACUUUUUAUUUUAAUUAUAUGAUAAAAAAUAAUAAUAGGUAGUGACACUAAAUAAACUAAAUAAACAAAUUGAUUAUGAUAACUUGAAAAAAAAAACUAUAUUUUCUUAAAUAAUAUAACUCAAUUCUCAGCCCAACAAAAUAUAAAAUAAUAAAAUUGAAUUAAAAAUGUAAAAAUAAACCAACCUUGAGUUAGCAUUAAUCAAUUGAAUUACCAAAAAAACUAUAAAGUCAAAUACUAAAUUAAGCAAAUUUGAAUAGAUUAAAUUAAAAAAUAAAUAAAUUAUGAGAUAAAAGAAAACGGAUGAACCAUACAUUUUAGUCCCUAAUUUUUAGAUUGUUUAAAUUGGUCUCCAUAGCUUUAAUUGCUUUCAAUCAAUAAAACUUUAUUUAAUUUCGGUAAACCAAGCGUCAUCUAAGCAAUGAUUUUCUUUAUUAAUAACCUGAGAUCCCCUAGCCAAGACAGACAAAUAUACCACAAAGUUUAAUCCCAAAAAUAAUAAAAUUAAAAAAAGAAUUAAAGAACCAAAAAAAAAACUGAAGGACUAAGAAAAAAACUCUGUUACAAUUCGUAGUGUUUUCACUAUAGUCUAUAGGUGAACAUGACUUUUGCCGGUAAGCCCACCAAGCCCCUGUUCAAAAAACUACAGAGCAUCUCCUUAAUCAUGUCUGGAUCAGACAUGGCCAACAACCUGGGCUCGACUCCCAACCGGUGGAGAAAUGUCUUCCUGCUCUUCCUUGACCAUUGAUAGACGUUGGCUUGGACAAAUUGAUAUUAGGCUGAUAUCCUUGGACCUUCCGAAGAUUGGAUUGUAGGCAAAGCCAGUAUCUGUGCCUUUUUUAAAUGGUUUUGGAUUCUCCAUGGAACCCUUAAAACUGAGUGUAGGAAUUUCAAAAUGCAGAGUCUAAAGAAGAUCACAAAGAGAAGAAAAAAGCAUGGUGAAAGAAGGAUCGUGCAGUGGGCUUGAAUUGUCAGGAGAUUGUUUUUACCAUGAUUUAAGUAAUGUGCAGCUGCAAUGGUUGGUGAAUUAUGAGGGGUGGUUGAAAAUUAUAUGAUGCUUUGUCUCCUUAAAGAGAUAUUGGGGAUUAUCUGGUGAUAACCUGUUAAAACCAUUGGCACCCUGUAUGGAUUAUGAUGCUCAAAAAGGGUUAAUGUCGUAUAAGAAGAAAUACUACUGUGUGGAAUCUGAUCAAGCAACUUGACACAGCCGUUGAAAGUAUUCAAAGUUUGCUAAGACUCUAAAUUUAAACGAAUUGAUAAUAAUAACGUAGAACACUUAAAGAAAAAUUGUUUACGGGGAAUUACACAGAUACAAUAAUGAAGUUCUAAGAGGGUUUUGAUUACAAUUUCAGAACAGAAGGACUAAUUAGACAUGAAUUCUGUCAUGGAAAAACAUGAGAUUUCACCAGGAAAAAAGAAACCUUUCCAUUCGAAGAUUGAGAAACUUUCCAAGAUUUUAUGCAAAUUGAUAGGAAAUUAUCUACCUUCGUCUGAAGCAAUCGUUGUAUCGAUGUUUAUUUCUUGUUUACUUGAACAAGAAGCUGUGCCAGAAAGGCCUUGUUAUAAUUCACAGUUGUUGAAUUUAUUUCAUUAUAAGGCCUUCCAUUUGUAGUUGUGUUCCCAAGAGGUCUGCUUGGUUUCCUGCUGGAAUUCAUGAGCAAGUUAGAAACAAGCCAGAGCCUUUCAUCGGAUCUUACAAAACUUCCUGAAACUCCACUUUUCCAGUACGGAAUCGAUCCGUUCCUAAUGAUGAUGUACAGUUUUUUUCUUUCAUGCAGCUGAAAUUUGAAGUCUCCUGGUGCUGGGUCAAUGGGACUCUUCCAAGAAGUCAACAUAAAGUUCUUGUCUAUCUUCAUUCCAGGAAGAAAUGUGUCAGUCGGACAAUCAAAGCUUUGCCACAAUAUCGCUGAACCAUUUGCAGCUUCUUGGAUCAAGACUAAGUUCCCGGAAUCCAUGAGCUUCAAAGAAAAUGAAGAUGAUGUUGAUUCUAUCCUUGCGGACCAGUAAGAUGUUCUAUUUCCAUCCAUCACAUGGAGGUUUCCAUCUUGUCCGAGGGAAAAAACUCCCCUGGAAUUAUCAAGUGGAUUUUCACGGUUAGCAACCCACACAAAAGUUUGAGGGCUGUUGUAAUACCAGAUGCCUAGGUAUUUCUUGCCAUCAUUUCUCCCAUAUGGAGUGAAGAAUCCAAGUUCAAAUCUUUCUCCAGAAGAAACAAGAGUAUCUCCCAUUUCAUCCCUUAGUGGAUUAGUGGGCAAUGUCCUGUUAUCCCUGGCCGAGCACAUCCAAGAACUAAGAAAAAGAAAGAGUGUGAAUGAUGAGAAGAUGCUAGACACCAUGUUGGUAGCAGAAAUCGUGAUAUGGCCUGUUUGAAUUCUCCUUCUUUCUUUCACAUCCAUCAUCAGAGAAUGUUACUGCCCAACCUUGUACCAGCAGCAUUGUUACAUGAACAAGAAGCUGUGCCAAAAAGGCCUCUCUCUUGUUCACUUGAAGCAAAAGCUGUGCCAGAAAGGCCUCUUCGUAUAAAAAAGGCUGGGUUCUUAGGAACCGGCAAGUUUGCAGUUUCACUGCUAAGCAUCACAACAACAUUGGACAUGGUCGGACGGUCGGAUGGAUCAUCUUGUACGCAUAAGAGUGCAGCAUUUACACACCUCAGAAACUCAUUGGUGUUGCAAAUCUCACGUAAUGUCUCGUCCAUUAAAUCCAAUGCCUUGUCUUCUCUCCAUAAUCUCCAAGCCUGGAAUUUUGAAGUUUAAGUCAGCAUAGCUUAUCAAACGACAAAACAUUAUAUUAGCACGGUUGAACUUACAUAAGCUAGAAGGCUUUGGGCUUCAUCAGAAUUAAAAUAUCCCGUGUUCCUUUUCCCGCUGAGAAUCUCAAGUACAACGACGCCGAAACUAAAAACAUCAGAUUUGACAGAGAAUAGGCCAUCUAAUGCGUACUCUGGCGACAUGUAGCCACUGCAUUACAACAAUUUUCACAAGAAUCAGUAACUCAGCUGGAAACAGACAUUUAAUUCAGCAUUAAAAAUGACAUGAUUGUAGGAUUGGAGGCUGCAAAAAGAGAGUGUUUGCAUAUGAACAGCUAGUUUCAUGAUGCACAGUGUCAAUGCCAGGUCUGAACCAAUAUGGCUGAAAUGCAAAUGUAAUGUUAGUACAAGCUGAUAUCUAGCCGAGAACAUCAAUGCUAGUAAACUGGAGGGACCACAGAAACCACCUAGUUCUAUUAUUAGGCUGCAGAUUUUGGCGUGUCUGAGAAAAAGAGGGAUAGAAUUCAGUUAUCUGAAAAGUUAAGAUUACCAGAUGAAGUCUUGGUCUUCCAUUUUUGUCUCUUUCACCUUUUAUUAUUGGUCCAUAAAACCGGUAUGUAGUUUCGUUUGUUUUUAUUCUUGUCAUAAAUAAUAAUCUAGGUUCCUUUAAUGAAAAGUCAUUUUCUGAAAAAUAUUUUCUAAAUUUUUUCAUGUUUAUUAUUAAAAAAGUUGAUCAAUAAAAAAAAUUUUAAUUAAUAAAAAAUUAAAUUUGAUUUUUAGUAUUUUAGGUGGAAUACACUUUUUAGAAGCUACAAAAUAUUCAAAAAUAUCAUAAUAUAUAUAUAUUAUAUUAAAUUUGAUCAUCAAUUUAGUUCUUUGGAAUUUAAUUUGAUUUUUAUAUCAACUUUGAACUUAUUUUUCUUAUUGUCAUCUGUUUUUCUCUUAUCUUUUUUUUUGAAUUGAAAUUUUUUUUAUCCAUUAAAUUUGAUCAUCGUUCUUUUGAUUUCUAUUUAUUUUAUUUGAAAUAAUAUUUGACAUUAUAUUUUUUUUUAAUUUCAUCAUCUAUCAACUUUUUAUUUUUCGGAUUUAGUUUUUAUUAUUUUAAUUAUUAUUUAUUUUAUUUAAAAUAAUUUAUAAAAUUUAAAUAUUUUUUUUAAUUUCAUCAUCUUUCAACAUUUUUAUCUCCGUUAGAUUUGGUUCAUAUUCUUUUAAUAAACUUGAAAAAAAUUAAACAUUAAUAAAUUAUUUUUCAGUUUAUUUUUUAUAGUAUAGUCAAAUACUAGAAAGUAUUUUCUAAAUUAUUUUUUAUAACACUGCUAAAUAUUAGAAAAACUUAUAUUUUCUACAAAACAAACUAACAAGAUUUUUCUAGUAAAAUAACAAGUUCCAAUUCUACUUCAACGAUAAUUUGGUGAGAUGGAAAAUUAGAUCUUUAAAAUGGAAAAGAGAAAGAGCUCAUCUUAAAAUGCCUAAAUAGAUGUAUAUUUGUGUUGUUUAUGAUGUGAUAAUGCUCCAUCACAAACAAACAAACAAAAAAACUAAAAAUAUAUCUAGUUGAAUUAUUGCAAAAUUUACUUAGCAAUUAUAAGAGCCCAACAAUGAUAAUGAUGUUCAGGAGAUUUUUUGACUAUUAUAAGCCCUCAAUAUCAUAUUUUCGUCUUCUGUAUUUUUUCAAUUUGUACUCAGAUUAGUACACACUAGAUGUAUGGAAUUGUAGGCAGGAUCCAUUUUGUUUUAUUUUUUUUUGUAAAAAUAUGAUAUUGAGAUGUCAUAUGCGUGUUCUGAAGAAGGAAAAAAAAAUCUACAACGGGGUCAAAUAAACUAGUUUUUAUUUUAAUUAUAUAAUAAAAAAAUAAUAAUAGGCAAUGACACUAAAUAAACUAAAUAAAAAAAAUUGAUUAUGAUAACUUUUUUAAAAAAUUAUUUUUCAAAAAAAAAAAAUAUAACUCAAUUUUCAACAAAUUAAAUAUAGAAUAAUAAAUUUGAAUUAAAAAAAUAAAAAUAAACUAACUCGAAUCACUUCGAGUUAACAUAAUCAAUUGAAUUACAAAAAACAAAAACUACCAAGUCAAAUACUAAAUUAAACAAAUUUGAAUUGGUUAAAUUGAAAAAAUAAAUAAAUUGUGGGAUAAAAUAAAAGGAAUGAACUCUCCCUUGUCCAUACUUUUGUCCAUAAUGUUUACAUUGUUCAAAUUCAAUCUUUAUAGCUUUAAUUUAAAUCAAUAAAACUUUAUUUGAUUUCUGUAAAUCAAGUGUCAACCGAGCAACGAAUUUUUUUUUAUUGAUACGGUGAGAUCCCCUAGCCAAGACAAACAAAGUAUACCACAAAGUUUAAUCCCAAAAAUAAUAAAAUUAAAAACAAAAUUAAAGAAUAAUAAUAAAAAAAAAAAAAAAAACCUGAAGGACUAAGAAAAAAAACUCUAUUACAAUUCGUAGUGUUUUCUCUAUAGGUGAACAUUACUUUUGCCGGUAAGCCCACCAAGCCCCUGUUCAAAAAACUACAGAGCAUCUCCUUAAUCAUGUCUGGAUCAGACAUGGCCAACAACCUGGGCUCGACUCCAAACCGGUGGAGAAAUGUCUUCCUGCUCUUCCUUGACCAUUGAUAGGCGUCGGCUUGGACAAAUUGAUAUUAGGCUGAUAUCCUUGGACCUUCCGAAGAUUGGAUUGUAGGCAAGGCCAGUAUCUGUGCCUUUUUUAAAUGGUUUUGGAUUCUCCAUGGAACCCUUAAAACUGAGUGUAGGAAUUUCAAAAUGCAGAGUCUAAAGAAGAUCACAAAGAGAAGAAAAAAGCAUGGUGAAAGAAGGAUCGUGCAGUUGGCUUGAUUUGUGAGACGAGAUUGUUUUUACCAUCAUUAAAGUAAUGUGCAGCUGCAAUGGUUGGUGAAUUAUGAGGGGUGGUUGAAAAUUAUAUGAUGCUUUGUCUCCUUAAAGAGCUAUUGGGGAUUAUCUGGUGAUAAACUGUUAAAACCAUGGGCACCCUGUAUGGAUUAUGAUGCUCAAAAAGGGUUAAUGUCGCCUAUGAAGAAAUACUACUGUGUGGAAUCUGAUCAAGCGACUUGACACAGCCGUUGAAAGUUUUCAAAGUUUGCUAAGACUCUAAAUUUAAACGAAUUGAUAAUAACAACGUAGAACACUUGAAAGAAAAAUUGUUUACGGGGAAAUUACACAGAUACAAUAAUGAAGUUCUGAGAGGGUUUUGAUUACAAUUUCAUAACAGAACGACUAAUUAGACUUGAAUUCUGUCUUGGAAAAACAUGAGAUUUCACCAGGAAAAAAAAACCUUCCCAUUCAAAGAUUGAGAAACUUUCCAAGAUUUUAUGCAAAUUGAUAGGAAAUUAUCUACCUUCGUCUGAAGCAAUCGUUGUAUCGAUGUUUAUUUCUUGUUUACUUGAAGAUGAAGCUGUGCUAAACAGGCCUGUUCCUUGUUUACUUGAACCAGAAGCUAUGCCAGAAAGGCCUCUUCGUAUAAAAAAGGCUGGGUUCUUAGGAACCGGCAAGUUUGCAGUUUCACUGCUAAGCAUCACAACAACAUUCGACAUGGUCGGACGGUCGGAUGGAUCAUCUUGUACGCAUAAGAGUGCAGCAUUUACACACCUCAGAAACUCAUUGGUGUUGCAAAUCUCACGUAAUGUCUCGUCCAUUAAAUCCAAUGCCUUGUCUUCUCUCCAUAAUCUCCAAGCCUGGAAUUUUGAAGUUUAAGUCAGCAUCGCUUAUCAAAUGACAAAACAUUAUAUUAGCACGGUUGAACUUACAUAAGCUAGAAGGCUUUGGGCUUCAUCAGAAUUAAAAUAUCCCGUGUUCCUUUUCCCGCUAAGAAUCUCAAGUACAACGACGCCGAAACUAAAAACAUCAGAUUUGACAGAGAAUAGGCCAUCUAAUGCGUACUCUGGCGACAUGUAGCCACUGCAUUACAACAAUUUUCACAAGAAUCAGUAACUCAGCUGGAAACAGACAUCUAAUUCAGCAUUAACCAUGACAUGAUUGUAGGAUUGGAGGCUGCUAAAAGAGAGUGUUUGCAUAUGAAUGUAUGUCUGAUGAAUAUCAAUGUUGAUAGGAUCUGAAACUUACUAAGUUCCAACAACUCUGUUUGUGCUCCCUUCGGUUUGUUUGCCUUCGAACAUCCUUGCCAAUCCAAAGUCAGAAAUUUUGGGAUUCAUUUCCGCAUCUAAUAAAAUGUUGCUCGUUUUCAUAUCACGAUGAAUAAUCCUGAGUCUAGAAUCUUGGUGGAGGUAAAGAAGACCUCUAGCAACUCCUAAAAUGAUAUCAAAGCGCGUCUCCCAAUUCAGUAACAUUCCCAGAUCUCGAUCUUCAGAGGUUUUCCAUUUCCAUAAGAACAAAAAUUAGCAACCAUGAGUGCUGCAAACGUACAUUUAUAAAACAAAAAUGAUGAAUCUGUUUAGAGACUAACCAAAUAUGAAGGAAUCUAAGCUUUUGUUAGGCAUAUAUUCAUAGAGUAAAAUCUUUUCAUCUCCUUUUAUGCAGUACCUACUAGUCUGACAAGAUUCCGAUGCUGCAAUCUAGCAAUCAAAAUCACCUCAUUCUUAAACUCCUCUAGGCCUUGUCCUGAAACACUAGAGAGUCGUUUUAUUGCGAUUUCUUGACCUCCUGGAAAUUUUCCCUGAAACCAAAGUUGCCAUGCAGGUAAAAUUCAGCCAGAAAACUUGUCAGACACAAAAAUUCCAAUGAUUAACGUAAAUAUUACUUUGUAAACAGGUCCGAAGCCCCCUCUUCCAAGCUUGUUUGCUUCUGAAAAAUAAUCCGUAGCUGCUAGUAUGCUGUCUAAAUCAAAGAAAGGUACAUCUAUGCCCUUCUUAUCUUCUUCGUUGAACUCUUCUGCAUCCAUCAAGUUCUUGACCCGUUUCUCAGUGCCAUACAAAACAGCUGCAUUUCUUUCAGUAUUUUGCUGGCUUUCUGAAAUUUCAACAAGACAACUGCUAAUUACAUGAGGAAUCCCUUAAAAACUUCAAUACCUACACGUUGAAAAUUUUUCUAGUUACCUCGUCGUUUGGCCUUCUUUCUCAUAAAAAUGCAGAUGUAAAGGAAGAUGCUUGAUAGAACUAUGACACUAGCAAUUGUAACUCCUACAAUCAAAGACAAUGGUUUCUUUUUCCUCGAAGAUCCUCCUGCUUGUCCAUCGACAACUUCAAGAAAGAAAGGGGGUAUGCGCAUUAUAAUAAAUUAAACUGGAUGAAACUUAUGGUUUUCACUACUUUUGCAGUUUGAGGCAAGAUAUAGAGUGCUCACCAUGAACGCAAUUUAGAGCAUUGCCAUCCCACCAAAAAUUUGAAUUGCAGAGGCAUCUCGCUGUACCAUUUCCUUUUUUAUUGCAAGUUGAAUUUGGCCAAUCGUCGCAGUCUGAAGAUGAAGAGCAGACUGGCUCUUGAGGUGGCUCCCAACCAAUAACUAUUUCUACCAGACCUUGAGAUGAAACAUUGGAAUCACACCAGCGUUUAGAGGGUUCAUCUUAAAUGGAAAUGACGUGUUGAACUUCCGAAUUUGACCUCUUGUACUGGCAUUACAAUCAUCUACAUCUUUCUCUUGGAUAACAAAUGUUCUUGUAUCUUGAUUGAUGGUAGUGACAUUAUAGGUGCCGCUGUGUGUCUUAAAGCUGAGUUUUCCUAUGGAAUUAUUGCAGUAGAAACUGGAGUACAUGGGGUCACCACAAUCUGAUCCAGUGCUUAGAGGAUAAGGAAUCACAUUUGUGCCACAAGGCUCACAACUUUUAGCCUUUGAUUCUGCAAAACAUGGAGCUUUUUUUAAGGUAUGAGACAGUACUGAUAUUUAGUUCAGUUAUGAAUUAAGUCCACUGCUUGUCUGCAAUCUUCUAUCAGAGAAAAAUUAUCCUUGACGUAAUUCUAGCAUCUUGUAGUAACAAAAGGAGAAAGAACAAGUCGAAAGAAGAAAGUACCUAUAUCAGAAAUGGCGACUCGGACAAAGAGAUCGGGACCAUCAGAAGAGUAUUCCUCCUGGAGAUCUUUAAGAUCUUCAUCCAUCCAGAGCAAGCAAGUAGGUUGUCUCUCCCUUCGCAUAUGUACUUCCCCCUUCACAAAGGAAUAAGCUUGGCAUUGGCACUUAUCGAGACACUCCUCUCUGCAUUUCUUUUCAUCCUCAACCACAAAUGAAGUGUCUGCUUGCCCAACUCUCAUAUUCUUCAAGCUCAAGAAGGUGCCAUUCUUCCCACAUGCGGCAGCGCUUCUGAUGCAACCGCUGGAGAAAUCUUCAUUCCCCCUAUUUUCCUGUGAGUUAGGCUUAAAUCCGGGCAAACAUCUGCAAGGCAACCUAUUGUAUAGAUUGCAGCUUCCAAAAGUUCCCACAGGCAUUAAACACACUGCAUUUGUCUCUCGGCUCAAACCAUCGCAAAGACCAAUUUGUAUACACAUCGAAGUUCCAGUAUUGUAGCUCCCCUUCAACAUCCAACCUAAUCCUUGAAUUACUAAAAUAUGAGCGUGAUAGAGUUGUAUUUGUAGUAGAUGGAGUUGUUAUGUUGAAUAUUGAAUUUGUAGGAGGUACAAUGCUGGUGAAGUUCGAUAGAAAAUAUACUAUUCCAUCAGGCAUACUUUCUGAGCUAAAGAAAUCACUUGACUCCCCACUAGUCCAAUGCUUUAUAUGGUCAAUAUUGUCGAUAACAAACUGGCCCCCUUCUUCAUCUAGCUGAAAUGUGAAGUUACCUUCUUGUGGAUCAACUUCACUUUUCCAUGACGUCAAAUUUAGAUCCCCACUCAUCUUCAUACCUGGAAGAAAUGUAUCAGUUGGAUGGUCAAAGCUUUGCCAUAGAAUAGUUGCCAAAAGGGUAUUACUAUCACACAAAACCAAGUUCCCAGAAUCUAAGAGCUUAGCCAACCCAUUCGCUGGUUUUGAUGUUGAUUCAAGCUCUGUAGACCAAAAAGGAUCUCUAUUUUUAUCCAAAAUCUUGAGGUUUCCAUCAUCUGUGACAGCCAAAACUGCUCCAUCAUCAAGAAGUGGGCUGUGUCGAUUGGCAACCCACACAACUAUUCGUGGAGUCGACCCGUAAUACCAAAUUCCUACGUAGCUUUUAUUUUGUUCAGGAGUAAAGAACCCCAGUUCAAACCUUUUUCCUGCUGAAACAAGAGUUUCUCCACCAUGAUUAGUAAUCAAAUUACCAGCAUAUGUGAUCGUAUCUCCAGCAAAGCAACAUAAAAGGGAGGAGCAUAAUAAGAAUGCAUAAGAAAAGAAAACGGUUGAUAGCAUGCUAUGCAUUGCACAUAGAUCUCUCUGGUUAAGACCUCUUCUUACCAUCAACCAUAACCAUGAAUGUAUCACUAAGGCCAACUGCAAAGCAAAUUUUCACUGCACUUGUUCUUUGUUGACGCUGACCAUAAAUGAAGGGAGAGGAUGCUUCACUAAACUUAUAUUAAUUUAGAAUAGUUAAUCAUUAGAACACGACAACAUUUUCCUAGUCACCGACUAAAAUCUAACAGUGGAAAUAUGGUAUGGUAGUGCUUAUUUUUAAAAUAUAUUUUAUUUAAUAAUAUAUUAAAAUAAUAUUUUAUUAUUUUAAAAAAUUAUUUUUGAUGUUAAUUUAUUAAAAUAAUUUAAAAAUAUGUAUAUAAAAUUAAUUUUUAAAAAAUAAAAUUUAAUAAAACAUUGUUUGAAAUACAAUUUUAAAUAACCAUAUCAGUCUUAAUUACCAAUGGUGAUAGAGUUGUAGAGUGAGGUUAUAAUAAAGAUAAUACUGGCAAAGUAAAAAAUAAUUAUGGCAACAGUGAUAAUGAUAUUCCAUGUAAUGAGAAGAUAAGAUUUUGAUGAUUAAGAUUGUUGGAUGAUUUUGUGUAUAAAUUAUUAUUUAUAAAAUAUUUUAUCUUGUAAAAGAUUGUUAUUUUAUUAUUUUUAAAAAAUUAUUUUUGAUAUCAAAAUAUAAAAAAUAUAAAAAAUUAAUUUUUUUUAAAAUCAAAAUUUAAUAAAACAUCAUUUAAAAUACAAUUUCAAAUAACUUUAUUUGGCUAUUUAAAAUGUAUUAAAUAAUAUUUUUGUUAUUUUUAAAAAAACUAUUUUUGACAUUAAUAUAUCAAAAUAAUCUAAAAUUUAAAAAAUAAAUUUAAAAAAUUAAAAUGUAAUAAAACACCAUAAAUACAGUUUCAAAUACCUUUAUCUGGCUUAAAUUUUCUUUAAUGGUGGUACCCGGCCAUGGCGAUAGAGUUGCCGUAGUGGGGUGGUAAUGAAAAUAGCAACAGUGAUGAUAAUAUUGCAUGUAGUGAUGAUGAUAAUUAAGAUUUUAAAUAAAAAAAUUAUAAUUUAAUGAGAAACACAAUUUAAAACAACUUUAUCUAGCUUAAAUUUUCUUUAAUGGUGGUACCAUAGUGAUAGAGUUGCCGUAGUGGGGUGGUAAUGAAGAUAGCAACAGUGAUGAUAAUAAUGCAUGUAGUGAUGAUGAUAAGAUUUUGAUGGUUAAGAUUGUUGGAUGAUUUUGUGUGUAAAUUAUUAUUUAAAAAAGUUUAAAAAAUAUUUUAUUUUGUUAAAUAUUUUAUUUAAAACAAAUUCCUUCUUAAACUACCCAUAAAUAAUUAAAUUGCUUGCUGCAGGCGUGUUCUUUUCUUUUCAAGUCUUGGCUCUCCUUUUCCCACGCAAUUUUCUGUGGCAACAAGGGCCCGUCAAGGCAUUUUUCAACUUUAUGCAUUCAUGCUUUCAUGUCCACUCUUUCUGUAAGUAUAUCCUUCAUUUUGACAAAACCCACUAUUCCAUCCUAUAUUUUCACCAAACUUGUCAAAAGAGUCCCUCCAUUAUUAAUUUGGUCAAUUGAGCAUAUGUUUUUUCAAAUUUCAGUCAAUUGAGUAAAAUUUUCCGAAAUUAAAGAUUUAUCUCUAUCAAUUGAGAAAUUCUUCUUCACAACCUUAAUGCUUUGAAGUAUAAUAGAAAUAUUAAUAUUUAUAACACAAAUAAUAGUAUUUUUAAUUAUUAAAUACCUUCAAUUAUAAUAAAAAUAAUAAUAUUUAUGUCACAAAUAAUAAUAAUAAUUUUAUCUUUCAAAUCAACUAUAUGGCUUUUCUUUGGUGGUUAUUAUUAUUAUUAUCAUGGGGAAAAGUCUUAUUCAUCAAAACUCAUUGCACUGUGAGUUGCACAUUUGGGAGGGGGGACAUGGUGUGAUGUAGCCCAAGGCCACAAACACCUGGCACAAGGGCAAUCAUGCUCAGCCAUAUAGAGUUCCAAGGUUGCAGGGGGAGGUUGCGCCCCAGGCUGCGGACACCUAGCGCUUGGGCUAUCAUCAUUCCUGGCGCUAGGGCCAGACCUGCGAGCCUGACUGCUCAUCCAAGCCAGCAGGUUUGUUGACCUGUGCGCUGGGUCCGAACAUGGAUCCCUUUCUGUUGGGUCAGGCAUCCUGACCUAAAUCGCUUGUAUCUGGACACAAACCCAGCACCUUUGGGUCCGGACACGGCCCAACCCCCAACCCCUUGAGGUCCAAACACGAAAGGACCCAAACCCCUUGAGUCCGAACACCGUAAGACCCAAACCCCAACCCUUUAGGUUCGGACAUGGCCCCAUCCCCAAUCCGUUGGGUCUGAACACGGACCCAUCCCCCAACCCCUUUGGGUCCCCACCCCGCCCAACACGCAACCCCAACCCCCAACCCCCUUGGGUCCCCACCCCGCCCAACCCCCUUGGUUCCGGGCAUGGACCCAACCCCCAUUGGGUCUGGGCAUAAACCCAACCCCCAAAUCCCUUGGGUCCAGACACCGAAGGACCCAAAUCCCUUGAGUCAAGACACCAAAGGACCCAAACCCUAACCACGGGGUCCGAAGAUGGACCUAACCCCUUGGGUCUAGAUACAGCCCAAUCCCCAAGCCCCUUGGUUUAGGGCUACGUACCCAAAUCCCAAGCCCUUUGGGUCUGGACACGGACCCAUCCCCUAACCUACUUGGGUCCCCACCCCGCCCAACCCCCAACUCCCUUGGGUCUGGACACGAAAUAACCUAAACCCCUUGGGUCUGGACACCGAAGACCCGAACCUUAACCCCUUUGGUCCGGACACGAACCCAAUCCCCUUGGGUUUGGGCACGGACCCAACCUCCCUUGGAUCCGGACACGGAAGGAACCAACCCCCAACCCCCUUGGGUUUGGGCACGGACUCAACCUCCCUUGGAUCCGGACACGGAAGGAACCAACCCCUUGGGUCCCCACCCCGCCCAACCCCAACCCCCUUGGGUUUGGGCAUGGACCCAACCCUAAACCCCCAUUGGAUCCGGACAUGGAAGGAACAAAACCCCUUGGAUUCGGACACCGAAAGACCUAAACCCCAAUCCCUGUGUCCGGACACGGACCCAACCCCUUUGGUAUUGUUCCACCAAUACAAUGUUAGCUGUUUACAAUUUAUAAAGACAAUGACAUGCGUAUUUUUUGUUGUGCAGGAUUGCAAGGCCUGAGCCAACAUGUAUGUUGAUACAGCUGCUAGAAGAGCUACAUCUUAUUUUUUAUUUUUGUAUUGAAAAAAAAUUAAAAGCUCUUGCUCAUUUCCAUCUGCUGAAUCAUGAAGCUUUUAUAUUAAUGUUUUUGUUGUUUGGUGUGUUGGUGUAAUACAACAACAUACAUUACUUUUCUAUGUAUUGUGUCUUCUAGCUAUGCUAAACCUUGCAUCAUGCAGUAAAAAUGAUAAAUUUUAUUUCAGAAUUAAAAAAAUCUAUUACAUGUUUCCAUCUUAGAAUAUGUUGUUUUUUCACAUUAGUUUUUAACCAUUUGGUUAGGGUUUUUUUUUUAUCUUUUUAAAAAGAAUACACAAGGUGCCAAGACUUGUUAUUAUUAGAAAAAAAAAAAAAGUGAAUUUGAUUUCAAAUAUAAAAUUAAAAACUAUAAAAACUUAGAAAUUUUUUUUUUUAACCCACGUUGUUUUAAACACAAAUAUUUUUUUAAUACCAUUUUUUAAAAUAUUUAUAACAUAAAUAAUACUAUUUUUAAUAUUAAUACCAUCAAUUAUAAUAAAAAUAAUAAUAUUUAUAGCACAAAUAAUAAUAAUAAUAAUACUUUUAAUUUUAUCCUUCAAAUCAACUAAAUGAUUUUUCUUUGGUGGUAAUAAUAUUUUAUUUCAAAUUUAUUAAUGACUAAUGAUAAUAAGAACAAUAAUUUAUACCUUUACCCUACAAAUAAGUCCUAUACUAGGACCUAAUGGUAAUGGGUCUUGCUUCAAGACCUAAUUUCUAUGGGUCCUCGCCAGGCCUAAAUAAUUUGUGUUAUAAAUAUUCUUUGGUUUUUUUAAUAUAAUAAUUUAUAUUAUAAAUAUUAUUAUUUCUAUUAUAAUUUAAAGUGUUCAUAUAAAAAAUAUUAUUAUUUUUGUUAUAAUUUAAAGUGUUCAUAUCUAAAAUAUUAUUAUUUUUAUUAUAACUCAAAGUAUUGAUAUAAAAAAUAUUAUUAUUUGUGUUAUAAAUAUUAUUAUUUUUAUUAUAAUUCUAAAUAUUCAUAUCAAAAAUAGUAUUAUUUGUGUUAUAAAUAUUAUUAGUUUUAUUAUAAUUAAUAUUAUUAAUAAAAUAAUUAAUAAAUUUAAAAAAUAUAUUAUUUUUUAUAUUAUAAUUUUUUAUAGUAUUUUUUAUGAAAAUAAAAAGUGAGCUCGCCACGUAGCACGGACACCCAACUAGUAUAUAUUAAAGGGUUUCAAAUCUCACACUGAAAAAAUAACUUUUUUCUUGUGAACAUAGAGUAUAUAUACUAAAGGGUUUCAAACCUCACUUUGAAAAGAUAUUAUGCUAUUCUUUUAAGUUGAAAUAUUUAAACCAAAAUUUUUUUUUAUCCCACAUUGAAAAAACAUAAUUUUUUUUCUUGUGAAUAUAGAGUAUAUACUAAAAGGUUCGAAUCUCACAUUGAAAAAAUAACUUCUUUUUUUGUGAACAUAUAAUAUAUAUACUAAAGGGCUUGAAAUCUUAUAUUGAAAAAAAUAAUUUUUUUCUUACGAACAUAGAGUAUAUAUACUAAAGAGUUUCAAAUCCAACAUUAAAAAAAUAAAAUAUAAUACUAGUAUUUAUAAAGUAAACUUUAAAAAUGAUUAAUAACCAACUAAAAAAAUAUAAAAAAAGAGUGGUUUAGGAGAUAAACCACAUUUGAAAAGAAAAAAAAUCUCAUCCGAGUUUACCUAGUUCAACCCGCCAGGUUUUUACACUAGCCGAUCUUGUAUCUUACCCGAACCGAUCUAGCCAAUAAAUCAACCGGAUCAAGUUUAAUUCUAUGCUUUGAAUGCGAUUUUUUUUAUAAUAGGAAGUUGUUUUAAUGUUUUUAAUAAAUAAAUAAAUAAAUUGGGUUUUAACUUAAUCACCUAGGUUUAAUCUAAUUAAUUCCUAUAUUAUUUUUAAAAACCUAACCUGCGCUGAGCCGAGUUUAACAACAUUAUCACUAACUAGUUGUAAGCAAAUGGAGGAGUGAUAAGAAUAUGCCUGGCAGUUGCAGUUGCAUUUGCCAAGGCACUUGUUCAUACAGUCAUUUUCAUCUGAGUAGUCAGGUUCAGCAUCAGGCUUUCCUGCUUUCAUCGAUUUUAAUCCAUAAAGUUAUAGUGGUUGGGUGGUAAUGAAGAUAGCAAUUGUAAGGUGAAAAAUAAUGAUAGCAACCACGAUAAUGACUUUGCAUGUAGUGAUGAUCAUAAGAUUUUGAUGGCUAAGAUUGUUGAAUGAUUUUGUGUACAAAUUAUUAUUUAAAAAAUAUUUAAAAAAAUAUAAAAAUAUAUUUUAUCUUAAAAUAUUUUAUUCAAAACAAAUUCCUUCUUAAACUACCCGUAAAUAAUUAAAUUGUGCUGGCGACAGGCGUACGUGUUUUCUUUUACAACUCUUGGCUCUGCUUUCCCUCGCAAUUAUUUCUGUGGCAACAAGGACCCGUCAAGGCAUUUUUCAACUUUAUGCAUUCAUGCUUUCAUGUCCACUCGUUCUGUAAGUACAUUCUUCAUUUUGACAAAAGCCACUAUUUCCAUCCUAUAUUUUCACCAACUUGUCAAAAGAGUCCCUCCAUUAUUAAUUCGGUCAAUUGAGCACAUGUUUUUUCAAUGUCAGUCAAUUGAGUAAAAUUUUCUGAAAUUGAAGAUUUAUCUUGAUCAAUUGAGAAUUCUUCUUCACAGCCUGGGUUGUGUAGAGUUUAACAACAUUAUCACUAACUGGUUGUAAGCAAAUGGAGAAGAGUGAUAAGGAAUCAAAUAUCCAUGGAAUUCAAUACUUAUAGACAGAAACUAAAUUUGCUACCUGCGUUCUGCCACGAUCUGGAAUUAUUAUUUUUUAUGUAAAAAAAUGCUAAGAAAAAAAAAAGACUAAUUAGUAACUUAAAUAAUAUGAAUAAAAAAAAAUACAACGAUAAUAAAUUAAUUGAUAAGAAAAUUAACAACAAAUAAAAGCUAAACAGGAAUUGACUCAAGUCCAUCUAGAUUAUUAAACAUCCCAAAGUUAAAAGGGCGAAACUGAAAAAAUAUUAUUUUUUUUAAAAAAAAAACAAUGGUUAAAAUGGGUUAACUUGCAAAUUAUGCGAUCUUUGAUAUAAGAUUAGGAUAAUAUAAUGGAAAUGAAAGUAGAAAAAAAAGUUUGAAAGACAAUUCUUAACAAAUCAAAUAAGAACGUGAUAACUCUAUAGAAAAUAAAAUCAGAAUAAAAAAAAAGUCGAAACUCAAUUUCUAGCAAAAUGAAAUGUUGAAAGACAAAAAAAUAAUUUAAGAAAAAAAGAUCAAAAAAAUUUGAUUUCAGCCAACCCGGGUCAAAAUGCAAAAUCUUUGAUUUAGUUGUGAUACCAGAGUAACCGCGUUUGAAAUAAAAAUGAAUAAAAUCAUAAAAUUUAAUCAUCGAGCAACCCAAUCAUAGAGUUGCCGUAGUGGGGUGGUAAUGAAAAUAGCAACAGUGAUGAUAAUAUUGCAUGUAGUGAUGAUGAUAAUUAAGAUUUUAAAUAAAAAAAUUAUAAUUUAAUGAGAAACACAAUUUAAAACAACUUUAUCUAGCUUAAAUUUUCUUUAAUGGUGGUACCAUAGUGAUAGAGUUGCCGUAGUGGGGUGGUAAUGAAGAUAGCAACAGUGAUGAUAAUAAUGCAUGUAGUGAUGAUGAUAAGAUUUUGAUGGUUAAGAUUGUUGGAUGAUUUUGUGUGUAAAUUAUUAUUUAAAAAAUUUUAAAAAAUAUUUUAUUUUGUUAAAUAUUUUAUUUAAAACAAAUUCCUUCUUAAACUACCCAUAAAUAAUUAAAUUGCUUGCUGCAGGCGUGUUCUUUUCUUUUCAAGUCUUGGCUCUCCUUUUCCCACGCAAUUUUCUGUGGCAACAAGGGCCCGUCAAGGCAUUUUUCAACUUUAUGCAUUCAUGCUUUCAUGUCCACUCUUUCUGUAAGUAUAUCCUUCAUUUUGACAAAACCCACUAUUUCCAUCCUAUAUUUUCACCAACUUGUCAAAAGAGUCCCUCCAUUAUUAAUUUGGUCAAUUGAGCAUAUGUUUUUUCAAUUUCAGUCAAUUGAGUAAAAUUUUCCGAAAUUAAAGAUUUAUCUCUAUCAAUUGAGAAUUCUUCUUCACAACCUUAAUGCUUUGAAGUAUAAUAGAAAUAUUAAUAUUUAUAACACAAAUAAUAGUAUUUUUAAUAUUAAUACCUUCAAUUAUAAUAAAAAUAAUAAUAUUUAUGUCACAAAUAAUAAUAAUAAUUUUAUCUUUCAAAUCAACUAUAUGGCUUUUCUUUGGUGGUUAUUAUUAUUAUUAUCAUGGGGGAAAAGUCUUAUUCAUCAAAACUCAUUGCACUGUGAGUUGCACAUUUGGGAGGGGGGACAUGGUGUGAUGUAGCCCAAGGCACAAACACCUGGCACAAGGGCAAUCAUGCUCAGCCAUAUAGAGUUCCAAGGUUGCAGGGGGGAGGUUGCGCCCCAGGCUGCGGACACCUAGCGCUUGGGCUAUCAUUCCCUGGCGCUAGGGCCAGACCUGCGAGCCUGACUGCUCAUCCAAGCCAGCAGGUUUGUUGACCUGUGCGCUGGGUCCGAACAUGGAUCCCUUUCUGUUGGGUCAGGCAUCCUGACCUAAAUCGCUUGUAUCUGGACACAAACCCAGCACCUUUGGGUCCGGACACGGCCCAACCCCCAACCCCUUGAGGUCCAAACACGAAAGGACCAAACCCCUUGAGUCCGAACACCGUAAGACCCAAACCCCAACCCUUUAGGUUCGGACAUGGCCCCAUCCCCAAUCCGUUGGGUCUGAACACGGACCCAUCCCCCAACCCCUUUGGGUCCCCACCCCGCCCAACACGCAACCCCAACCCCCAACCCCCUUGGGUCCGAGUACAGACUUAUCCCCCAACCUUAUUGGGUCCCCACCCCGCCCAACCCCCAUUGGGUCUGGGCAUAAACCCAACCCCCAAAUCCCUUGGGUCCAGACACCGAAGGACCCAAAUCCCUUGAGUCAAGACACCAAAGGACCCAAACCCUAACCACGGGGUCCGAAGAUGGACCUAACCCCUUGGGUCUAGAUACGGCCCAAUCCCCAAGCCCCUUGGUUUAGGGCUACGUACCCAAAUCCCAAGCCCUUUGGGUCUGGACACGGACCCAUCCCCUAACCUACUUGGGUCCCCACCCGCCCAACCCCAACUCCCUUGGGUCUGGACACGAAAUAACCUAAACCCCUUGGGUCUGGACACCGAAGACCCCGAACCUUAACCCCUUUGGUCCGGACACGAACCAAUCCCCUUGGGUUUGGGCACGGACCCAACCUCCCUUGGAUCCGGACACGGAAGGAACCAACCCAACCCCUUGGGUUUGGGCACGGACUCAACCUCCCUUGGAUCCGGACACGGAAGGAACCAACCCCCUUGGGUCCCCACCCCGCCCAACCCCCAACCCCCUUGGGUUUGGGCAUGGACCCAACCCUAAACCCCCAUUGGAUCCGGACAUGGAAGGAACAAAACCCCUUGGAUUCGGACACCGAAAGACCUAAACCCCAAUCCCCUGUGUCCGGACACGGACCCAAACCCCUUUGGUAUUGUUCCACCAAUACAAUGUUAGCUGUUUACAAUUUAUAAAGACAAUGACAUGCGUAUUUUUUGUUGUGCAGAUUGCAAGGCCUGAGCCAACAUGUAUGUUGAUACAGCUGCUAGAAGAGCUACAUCUUAUUUUUUAUUUUUGUAUUGAAAAAAAAUUAAAAGCUCUUGCUCAUUUCCAUCUGCUGAAUCAUGAAGCUUUUAUAUUAAUGUUUUGUUGUUUGGUGUGUUGGUGUAAUACAACAACAUACAUUACUUUCUAUGUAUUGUGUCUUCUAGCUAUGCUAAACCUUGCAUCAUGCAGUAAAAAUGAUAAAUUUUAUUUCAGAAUUUAAAAAAAUCUAUUACAUGUUUCCAUCUUAGAAUAUGUUGUUUUUUCACAUUAGUUUUUAACCAUUUGGUUAGGGUUUUUUUUUUUUCUUUUUAAAAAGAAUACACAAGGUGCCAAGACUUUUAUUAGAAAAAAAAAAAAAGUGAAUUUGAUUUCAAAUAUAAAAUUAAAAACUAUAAAAACUUAGAAAUUUUUUUUUUAACCCACGUUGUUUUAAACACAAAUAUUUUUUAAUACCAUUUUUAAAAUAUUUAUAACAUAAAUAAUACUUUUUUAAUAUUAAUACCAUCAAUUAUAAUAAAAAAAUAAUAUUUAUAGCACAAAUAAUAAUAAUAAUAAUACUUUUAAUUUUAUCCUUCAAAUCAACUAAAUGAUUUUUCUUUGGUGGUAAUAAUAUUUUAUUUCAAAUUUAUUAAUGACUAAUGAUAAUAAGAACAAUAAUUUAUACCUUUACCCUACAAAUAAGUCCUAUACUAGACCUAAUGGUAAUGGGUCUUGCUUCAAGACCUAAUUUCUAUGGGUCCUCGCCAGGCCUAAAUAAUUUGUGUUAUAAAUAUUCUUUGGUUUUUUAAUAUAAUAAAUUUAUAUUAUAAUAUUAUUAUUUCUAUUAUAAUUUAAAGUGUUCAUAAAAAAUAUUAUUAUUUUUGUUAUAAUUUAAAGUGUUCAUAUCUAAAAUAUUAUUUUUAUUAUAACUCAAAGUAUUGAUAUAAAAAAAUAUUAUUAUUUGUGUUAUAAAUAUUAUUAUUAUUUAUAAUUCUAAAUAUUCAUAUCAAAAUAGUAUUAUUUGUGUUAUAAAUAUUAUUAGUUUUAUUAUAAUUAAUAUUAUUAAUAAAUAAUUAAUAAAUUUAAAAAAUAUAUUAUUUUUUAUAUUAUAAUUUUUAUAGUAUUUUUAUGAAAUAAAAAGUGAGCUCGCCACGUAGCACGGACACCCAACUAGUAUAUAUUAAAGGGUUUCAAAUCUCACACUGAAAAAAUAACUUUUUUCUUGUGAACAUAGAGUAUAUAUACUAAAGGGUUUCAAACCUCACUUUGAAAAGAUAUUAUGCUAUUCUUUUAAGUUGAAAUAUUUAAACCAAAAUUUUUUUUUUAUCCCACAUUGAAAAAACAUAAUUUUUUUUCUUGUGAAUAUAGAGUAUAUACUAAAAGGUUCGAAUCUCACAUUGAAAAAAUAACUUCUUUUUUUGUGAACAUAUAAUAUAUAUACUAAAGGGCUUGAAAUCUUAUAUUGAAAAAAAUAAUUUUUUUCUUACGAACAUAGAGUAUAUAUACUAAAGAGUUUCAAAUCCAACAUUAAAAAAAUAAAAUAUUAUACUAGUAUUUAUAAAGUAAACUUUAAAAAUGAUUAAUAACCAACUAAAAAAAUAUAAAAAAAGAGUGGUUUAGGAGAUAAACCACAUUUGAAAAGAAAAAAAAUCUCAUCCGAGUUUACCUAGUUCAACCCGCCAGGUUUUUACACUAGCCGAUCUUGUAUCUUACCCGAACCGAUCUAGCCAAUAAAUCAACCGGAUCAAGUUUAAUUCUAUGCUUUGAAUGCGAUUUUUUUUAUAAUAGGAAGUUGUUUUAAUGUUUUUAAUAAAUAAAUAAAUAAAUUGGGUUUUAACUUAAUCACCUAGGUUUAAUCUAAUUAAUUCCUAUAUUAUUUUUAAAAACCUAACCUGCGCUGAGCCGAGUUUAACAACAUUAUCACUAACUAGUUGUAAGCAAAUGGAGGAGUGAUAAGAAUAUGCUGGCAGUUGCAGUUGCAUUUGCCAAGGCACUUGUUCAUACAGUCAUUUUCAUCUGAGUAGUCAGGUUCAGCAUCAGGCUUUCCUGCUUUCAUCGAUUUUAAUCCAUAAAGUUAUAGUGGUUGGGUGGUAAUGAAGAUAGCAAUUGUAAGGUGAAAAUAAUGAUAGCAACCACGAUAAUGACUUUGCAUGUAGUGAUGAUCAUAAGAUUUUGAUGGCUAAGAUUGUUGAAUGAUUUUGUGUACAAAUUAUUAUUUAAAAAAUAUUUAAAAAAAUUAAAAUAUUUAUCUUAAAAUAUUUUAUUAAAAACAAAUUCCUUCUUAAACACCCGUAAAUAAUUAAAUUGUGCUGGCGACAGGCGUACGUGUUUUCUUUUACAACUCUUGGCUCUGCUUUCCCUCGCAAUUAUUUUCUGUGGCAACAAGGACCCGUCAAGGCAUUUUUCAACUUUAUGCAUUCAUGCUUUCAUGUCCACUCGUUCUGUAAGUACAUUCUUCAUUUUGACAAAAGCCACUAUUUCCAUCCUAUAUUUCACCAACUUGUCAAAAGAGUCCCUCCAUUAUUAAUUCGGUCAAUUGAGCACAUGUUUUUCAAUGUCAGUCAAUUGAGUAAAAUUUUCUGAAAUUGAAGAUUUAUCUUGAUCAAUUGAGAAUUCUUCUUCACAGCCUGGGUUGUGUAGAGUUUAACAACAUUAUCACUAAUUGGUUGUAAGCAAAUGGAGAAGAGUGAUAAGGAAUCAAAUAUCCAUGGAAUUCAAUACUUAUAGACAGAAACUAAAUUCGCUACCUGCGUUCUGCCACGAUCUGGAAUUAUUAUUUUUUAUGUAAAAAAAUGCUAAGAAAAAAAAAGGACUAAUUGGUAACUUAAAUAAAAAAAAUAAAAAAAAUACAACGAUAAUAAAUAAGUUGAUAAGAAAAUUAACAACAAAUAAAAGCUAAACAGGAAUUGACUCAAGUCCAUCUAGAUUAUUAAACAUCCCAAAGUUAAAAGGGCAAAACUGAAAAAAUAUUAUUUUAAAAAAGAAAAAACAAUGGUUAAAAUGGGUUAACUUACAAAUUAUGCGAUAUAAGAUUAGGAUAAUAUCAUGAAAAUGAAAGUAGGAAAAAAAGUUUGAAAGGAAAUUCCUAACAAAUCAAAUAAGAACGUGAUAACUCUAUAGAAAAUAAAAUCAAAAGAAAAAAAAGUUGAAACUCAAUUUCUAGCAAAAUGAAAUGUUGAAAGACAAAAAAAUAAAAAAUAUAUAUAAUUUAAAAAAAAGAUCAAAAAAUUUUGAUUUCAGCCAACCCGGGUCAAAAUGCAAAAUCUUUGAUUUAGUUGUGAUACCAGAGUAACCGCAUUUGAAAUAAAAAUGAAUAAAAUCAUAAAAUUUAAUCAUCGAGCAACCCAAUAUUGAAGGAAAAAAAUUAAAAAAUUAAUUAAAAAAAACUACGAAAAAAAAAUAUGAAUCGACUUGGGCUAACACGCUAACUAGACAAUCAUGGCCAUUAGAUCAGGUGAACCCAAUAGAAAUGAAAGGAAACAAAAGCACGAAGACCGAUUUCCUAUAUAUCUAAUGUUGAAUGAUAAAAUUAAAAUAAAUUAAUUUCAAAAAAAGACAAAAAAAAAAAGUCAACACACGUUAACCUUUAAAAUCAGUGAAUCAAGUCAUGAACUCGAGAUUAACAACAUAGAAAACAAACUGUAAAAUAUCACAAAGAAAAUCUCUAAAAAAAAAGUUAAAAAAAAUUAGCUUAAAAAAAAAAGAAAAAAAAGGAAGCAAACUGGGACAAAUUUCUUGAACUUGAUUUAAUCUCUAAAACUCGUACCUUGUGAAAUUCUAGACUUGCAUUGAAUCAAUAAGCAUAAUUCCCAAUUAGUUUAACAUAUCAAGUUUAAAAACUUUCUAAAGCAAAAAAAAAAUUAAAAAGAAUGAGGAUCAAAUUUGAUAGGAAAAAACUCAAAGGAUGGUGAAAUCAUAAAACAAAAUCAAUUUAAAGAAUGAUCUUAAACAAAAUAAAUAAUAAUAAAAAAAAAUGAAUAUCAAAUUUGAAAGAUGAGAAAAUUAAAGGGCGAUGAAAUUGAAAAGGCAUUUCAAUUUUAUAAAUUAUUCAAGAUAAAAAAAAUUAAAAAAAAUGACCAAAUCUAAUAAAUUAACAAGUUAAAGGGUUGUUUGGAAUUUUUAAGGGAUUAGCACGAAAAUCUAGGAGGAAAAAAGAAAAAAAAAUGGUUUGUGGUUUGUGUUUUUUCAAUAUGUGAUAAAAAAAAUUAGUUUAAAUACUUCAACUUAAAAAGAUAACAUAAUAACAUACUAACAUAAUAUAUUUUCAAUGUGGGAUAAAAAAAAUUUUAAAAUAUUUUUUAAAACUUUAUUAUUUAUAACAUGUAUAAUCUAUAUUUAUAUGAAUUGUUUUUUUAAUUUUUUCAUAUAAAAUAUUAAAACUUUAAAUAUAUAUUUUAAUUUUUUUCUAAGUUAAUUCGAGUUAAUCUAAAUCAACCUAUAUAAUUUAGGACCCAGCAGGUCAGCUUCCGGAUCGAAUCCAAUAACUAUGACUGAUGGUGAUAGGGUUAUACUGGUGGGGCGGUAAUGAGGAUAGUAAUUGUAAAGCGAAAAAUAAUAAUCAACAAUAAUGAUGAUUUUGCAUGCAAUGAUGAUAAGAUUUUGAUGGUUAAGAUUGUUGAAUGAUUAAUUUUGUGUACAAAUUAUUAUUUUAAAAAUAUAAAAAAUAUUUUAUCUUGUUAAAUAUUUUAUUCAAAACAAAUUCCUUCUUAAACUACCCAUAAAACAAUGUGCAUGCCUUGAUAUUAGUAUUGGUCUCACUAUGUUUGGGGCAAUAUGAUCCUUUUCUAGCCUAUAAAUAAAUGUCGUGUUAUUAUUUUCCCUUCCAUUAUUGUUUCUAGCUACUCUAAUAUACCUCCAAAGAGUUGCUGAAGAUUUAAAUUCUAUUAAAGAAAUGAUAUUUUUAUAUUCAGUUCUUUGAAUUUAUAUAGCUAUCCUAAAUUUUAGUCUCAACAUUGAUAUGCUAGAUAUUUCUUUAUAUAUAUAUAUAUAUAUACACACACACUAAAGACACAAUUAUCAUUUAUUGAUAGAUAUAUGAUUGUUUAUUUUUAUAUUUAUUUUGUCAGGUUUAUUUAUUUUAUAUAUAUCAAAACUAUCAUAAAACAUUAGAAAAUAAUUAAUUUGAUGCUCUUUAAAAUUAAAAAUACUUUCAAAAAAUACAUAAAAAAUAGAAGCAUCACCAAAUACAAAAAUAUUAAACUUUAGAACCAAAUAAUUCGUACAUUGCCAAAGUUCAACUUUUUUUUGAUAUUGUGGACUCACUCUCAAUAACCAAAUCACGGGAGAGAGUUCAUUAACGAGAUCUCUAGAAAUUGCAUAUUUAUAUAUGGGUUGAGAAAUUCUCUUUAUUAUACAGUAUAUAAUUUAUGUAAACCAAACGUCAACUGAGCAAUGAUUUUCUUUAUUGAUACCGUGAGAUCCCCUAGCCAAGACAGACAAAGUAUACCAUAAAGUUUAAUCCCAAAAAUAAUAAUAAAAAAAAAUAAAGAACUAAAAAAAAAAACUGAAGGAAUGAGAAAAAAAAACUCUAUUACAAUUCGUAGUGUUUUCUCUAUAGGUGAACAUGACUUUUGCCGGUGAGCCCACCAAGCCCCUGUCCAGAAAACUACAGAGCAUCUCCUUAAUCAUGUCCGGAUCAGACAUGGCCAACAACCUGGGCUUGACUCCAAACCGGUGGAGAAAUGUCUUCCUACUCUUCCUUGACCAUUGAUAGACGUUGGCAUGGACAAAUUGAUAUUAGGCUGUUAUCCUAGGACCUUCCGAAGAUUGGAUUGUAGGUAAGGCUAGUAUCUGUGCCCAUUUGAAAUGGUUUUGGAUUCUCCAUGGAACCCUUAAAACUGAGUGUAGGAAUUUCAAAAUGCAGAGUCUAAAGAAGAUCACAAAGAGAAGAAAAAAGCAUGGUGAAAGAAGGAUCGUGCAGUUGGCUUGAUUUGUGAGACGAGAUUGUUUUUACCAUCAUUAAAGUAAUGUGCAGCUGCAAUGGUUGGUGAAUUAUGAGGGGUGGUUGAAAAUUAUAUGAUGCUUUGUCUCCUUAAAACCAUGGGCACCCUGUAUGGAUUAUGAUGCUCAAAAAGGGUUAGUGUGGAAUCUGAUCAAGCGACUUGACACAGCCGUUGAAAGUGUUCAAAGUUUCGUAAGACUCUAAAUUUAGACGAAUUGAUAAUAACAACGUAGAACACUUGAAAGAAAAAUUGUUUACGGGGCAUUACACAGAUACAAUAAUGAAGUUCUGAGAGGGUUUUGAUUACAAUUUCAGAACAGAAGGACUAAUUAGACAUGAAUUCUGUCUUGGAAAAACAUGAGAUUUCACCAGGAAAAAAAAACCUUCCCAUUCAAAGAUUGAGAAACUUUCCAAGAUUUUACGCAAAUUGACAGGAAAUUAUAUGCCUUCGUCUGAAGCAAUCGCUGUAUCGAUGCUUGUUUCUUGUUUACUUGAAGAUGAAGCUGUGCCAGAAAGGCCUCUCUCUUGUUCACUUGAAGCAAAAGCUGUGCCAGAAAAGCCUCUUCGUAUAAAAAAGGCUGGGUUCUUAGGAACCGGCAAGUUUGCAGUUUCACUGCUAAGCAUCACAACAACAUUCGACAUGGUCGGACGGUCGGAUGGAUCAUCUUGUACGCAUAAGAGUGCAGCAUUUACACACCUCAGAAACUCAUUGGUGUUGCAAAUCUCACGUAAUGUCUCGUCCAUUAAAUCCAAUGCCUUGUCUUCUCUCCAUAAUCUCCAAGCCUGGAAUUUUGAAGUUUAAGUCAGCAUCGCUUAUCAAAUGAUAAAACAUUAUAUUAGCACCGUUGAACUUACAUAAGCUAGAAGGCUUUGGGCUUCAUCAGAAUUAAAAUAUCCGUGUUCCUUUUCCCGCUAAGAAUCUCAAGUACAACGACGCCGAAACUAAAAACAUCAGAUUUGACAGAGAAUAGGCCAUCUAAUGCGUACUCUGGCGACAUGUAGCCACUGCAUUACAACAAUUUUCACAAGAAUCAGUAACUCAGCUGGACAGACAUCUAAUUCAGCAUUAACCAUGACAUGAUUGUAGGAUUGGAGGCUGCUAAAAGAGAAUAUUUGCAUAUGAAUGUAUGUCUGAUGAAUAUCAAUGUUGAUAGGAUCUGAAACUUACUAAGUUCCAACAACUCUGUUUGUGCUCCCUUCGGUUUGUUUGCCUUCGAACAUCCUUGCCAAUCCAAAGUCAGAAAUUUUGGGAUUCAUUUCCGCAUCUAAUAGAAUGUUGCUCGUUUUCAUAUCACGAUGAAUAAUCCUGAGUCUAGAAUCUUGGUGGAGAUAAAGAAGACCUCUAGCAACUCCUAAAAUGAUAUCAAAGCGCAUCUCCCAAUUCAGUAACAUUCCCAGAUCUCGAUCUUCAGAGGUUUUCCAUUUCCAUAAGAACAAAAAUUAGAAACCAUGGGAGCUGCAAACGUACAUUUAUAAAAUAAAAAUGAUGAAUCUGUUUAGAGACUAACCAAAUAUGAAGGAAUCUAAGCUUUUGUUAGGCAUAUAUUCAUAGAGUAAAAUCUUUUCAUCUCCUUUUAUGCAGUACCUACUAGUCUGACAAGAUUCCGAUGCUGCAAUCUAGCAAUCAAAAUCACCUCAUUCUUAAACUCCUCUAGGCCUUGUCCUGAAACACUAGAGAGUCGUUUUAUUGCGAUUUCUUGACCUCCUGGAAAUUUUCCCUGAAACCAAAGUUGCCAUGCAGGUAAAAUUCAGCCAGAAAACUUGUCAGACACAAAAAUUCCAAUGAUUAACGUAAAUAUUACUUUGUAAACAGGUCCGAAGCCCCCUCUUCCAAGCUUGUUUGCUUCUGAAAAAUAAUCCGUAGCCGCUAGUACGCUGUCUAAAUCAAAUAAAGGUACAUCUAUGCCCUUCUUAUCUUCUUCGUUGAACUCUUCUGCAUCUAUCAAGUUCUUGACCCGUUUCUCAGUGCCAUACAAAACAGCUGCAUUUCUUUCAGUAUUUUGCUGGUUUUCUGAAAUUUCAACAAGACAACUGCUAAUUACAUGAGGAAUCACUUACAAACUUCAAUACCUACACGUUGAAAAUUUUUCUAGUUACCUCGUCGUUUGGCCUUCUUUCUCAUAACAAUGCAGAUGUAAAGGAAGAUGCUUGAUAGAACUAUGACACUAGCAAUUGUAACUCCUACAAUCAAAGACAAUGGUUUCUUUUUUCUCGAAUAUCCUCCUGCUUGUCCAUCGAAAACUUCAAGAAAGAAAGGAUGAAACUGGAUGAAACUUUUGGUUUUCACUACUUUUGCAGUUUGAGGCAAGAUAUAGAGUGCUCACCAUGAACACAAUUUAGAGCAUUGACAUCCCACCAAAAAAUUGAAUUGCAGAGGCAUCUCGCUGUACCAUUUCCUUUUUUAUUGCAAGUUGAAUUUGGCCAAUCGUCGCAGUCUGAAGAUGAAGAGCAGACUGGCUCUUGAGGUGGCUCCCAAACAAUAUCUAUUUCUACCAGACCUUGAGAUGGAACGUUUGAAAUAAAAUUUCCUGCCACGGUAUCACACCAGCGUUUAGAGGCGUUCAUCUUAAAUGGAAAUGACGUGUUGAACUUCCGAAUUUGACCUCUUGUACUGGCAUUACAAUCAUCUACAUCUUUCUCUUGGAUAACAAAUGUUCUUGUAUCUUGAUUGAUGGUAGUGACAUUGUAGGUGCCGUUGUGUGUCUUAAAGCUGAGUCUUCCUGUGGAAUUAUCGCAGUAGAAACUGAAGUACAUGGGGUCACCACAAUCUGAUCCAGUACUUAGAGGAUAAGGAAUCACAUUUAUGCCACAAGGCUCACAACUUUUAGCCUU
rnacentral:lncRNA from 1 species